AAUAUUGGACAAUGGGCGAAAGCCUGAUCCAGCCAUGCCGCGUGUGUGAAGAAGGUCUUCGGAUUGUAAAACACUUUACGUUGGGAGGAAGGUCAUUAAGUGAAUACUUUGCUGUUUUUACGUUACCGGCAUCAUCAGCCCCGGCUAACUUCGUGGCAGUAGCCGCGGUAAUACGAAGGGUGGAAGCGUUAAUCGGAAUUACUGGGCAUAAAGCGCGCGUAGGUGGUUUGUUAAGUUGGAAGUGAAAGCCCCGGGCUCAACCUGGGAACUGCUUUCAAAACUGGCAAGCUAGAGUAUGGCAGAGGGUGGUGGAAUUUCCUGUGUAGCGGUGAAAUGCGUAGAUAUAGGAAGGAACACCAGUGGCGAAGGCGACCACCUGGGCUAAUACUGACACUGAGGUGCGAAAGCGUGGGGAGCAAACA
rnacentral:rRNA from 1 species